ACAUGUCUACAACAUGGCAUUAAUGCAUUAGAUCCCAUUAGAACUCUGCAGUUAAGCACUCUUGGGAUAGAGUAGUACUGAGAUGGGUGACCUCUUGGGAAGUCCUAGUAUUUUACAUGCA
rnacentral:rRNA from 1 species